rnacentral:rRNA from 1 species
UACGUAGGGGGCAAGCGUUGUCCGGAUUCAUUGGGCGUAAAGAGCUCGUAGGCGGCUUGGCAAGUCGGGUGUGAAAACUUCAGGCUCAACCUGGAGCGGCCACUCGAUACUGCCAUGGCUAGAGUCCGGUAGGGGACCACGGAAUUCCUGGUGUAGCGGUGAAAUGCGUAGAUAUCGAGAGGAACACCUGCGGCGAAGGCGGGUUGCUGGGCUGACACUGACGCUGAUGCGCGAAAGCUAGGGGAGCGAACGGG